GCCUGUGUAGCUCAGUCGGCAGAGCGGCAGUUUUGUAAGGUUUUUCAGAAAUCCAAAUGAACUGUAGGUCGGGGGUUCAAUUCCCUCCACAGGCU
rnacentral:tRNA from 1 species